UAAAGAAACCCCGGCUAACUCCGUGCCAGCAGCCGCGGUAAUACGGAGGGUGCAAGCGUUAAUCGGAAUUACUGGGCGUAAAGCGCGCGUAGGCGGACUAUUAAGUCGAGGGUGAAAUCCCGGGGCUCAACCCCGGAACUGCCUUUGAUACUGGAAGUCUUGAGUCCGAGAGAGGUGAGUGGAACUCCGAGUGUAGAGGUGAAAUUCGUAGAUAUUCGGAAGAACACCAGUGGCGAAGGCGGCUCACUGGCUCGAUACUGACGCUGAGGUGCGAAAGUGUGGGGAGCAAACAGGA
rnacentral:rRNA from 1 species